UACGUAGGGUGCGAGCGUUAAUCGGAAUUACUGGGCGUAAAGGGCUCGUAGGCGGCCAACUAAGUCAGACGUGAAAUCCCUCAGCUUAACUGGGGAACUGCGUCUGAUACUGGAUGGCUUGGAUUCGGGAGAGGAAUGCGGAAUUCCAGGUGUAGCGGUGAAAUGCGUAGAUAUCUGGAGGAACACCGGUGGCGAAGGCGGCAUUCUGGACCGAUAUUGACGCUGAGGAGCGAAAGCCAGGGGAGCAAAGCGGG
rnacentral:rRNA from 1 species